GAGUUACAGAUAUCAGAUGGAUUUCAGCUUAAGUUAAUAGCUUGUUUCGUUGAGCUAACAUAACCUUGAACAUCAGCUUUAGAAACAAAUGUAUCCUGUCAUUUUAAUUUUACUUUAACUUCAAGUGAUAGACUGAUUGGUUUACUUGUUGGAAGUAAAGACUACUAGACUGUUGGUGGAACUAAAUGUACUGUGAAAAAUGAACUUCGGAAACUCUUUUUAUGGUUCAUUUGGAUCACUAUCAGGAGCAGACACAGUUUUUGGAUCAUCACGUUCCAGAUAUUCAUCUCACACAAGUUAUAAGUCACAGGCCAUGAAACGAUAUAACAGCACUGAAUUUCCACCACCCAGCAGAAACUCUUUUUAUGGUUCAUUUUGAUCACUAUCAGGAGCAGACACAGUUUUUGGAUCAUCACGUUCCAGAUAUUUCAUCUCACACAAGUUAUAAGUCACCAGGCCAUGAAACGAU